UCCUAUAGCUACACCCCUUUCAUGACAGAAAAUAAUAUGUGUCUGCAUAAGUGUCUAUCGCGACACCGAACGUCUAAAUAUCAACAAUUACUCUUUAAUUUUAGACUAUUAUGGCACAAAGAAAUACACGCCUCUAUAGUACCCUAAUUACGACAUUAAUCAGCGUCACAACCCUUUAUUUUUCUUUUCGAAUUUUUAAUUUAGAGUUGAUAACAACGUUUAGUUAAUUAAUAAAAUUAAAUGACUUCAAAGUGCACUUUUUCAAUUAAAAAAUGACAAUUAAUAGAUUAGCGAUGACAGCUGUGGAGUCCUCAUUAUCAAAGUAUUUACACAUUCAGAUUCACUCUUCAGCUUAAAAGAAAUUACUUGAUACUACCUUCGUCUCACUCCAAUAGGCUCAUUGUUUUUUGGCACGAAAAUUAAAAAAACUUACUUUUUAGUAGGAAAGUAGUAGUAAAGUGGUGUGAUCCACACCAAUUAAAUACAACUUUUUUACCCAAAAAGAAAAAUGAGCCUAUUGUAAUAUGACAUCCCAAAAAAGAAAAUGAGCCUAUUCGAGUGGGACGGAGGGAGUACUAUUUUUUUAAUUCCAGAUUAUGAUAAAAAAAAAUAUUUUUAAUUAAUCAAAACAAAGAAAUAGCUCCAUAGGCGGCAAUACUUCCCACCAAAUAAUUUUCUUUCGGAUUGUUUUUUUUUUAAGGAUAAUGAAUGAUUGUUUUAAAAUUCAUUAUUUGCGGAAUAUUUGGGGCAUAAAAUCUGUAAAUAUUUUGGAUAUGAUACGUUAUUAUUUAGAUUUUUUGUGGGAGAAUAAUUUCUUUUUGAGUGGGGUGGGAUUAUGUGCAAUAAAUUUCAUCUCCCAUCCUUCAAAAAAAAAAAAGUUUAAUCUCCCGGUAAUAUGCACAUUGCGCAAAAAAAUUUCCUUUUCUACUAGACGGUUACUCUAGAAGUGAAGCAAAGUUCACAGUUUCUCUUAAUUCAAAGUUCAGAAGUUCACCCAGCAAAUUUUUGUUUUCAAUAUGAAGGAACCCGUAAGAAGUUCAUCAACAUCAGUGGAAAGGUCAAUUUGAAGGAACCCGUGAGUUUCAUUAGAUGCCUUUCUCUUCUCCGGUCAAUUGUGAGGUUGAAAUGGAUGCUCCCUGGAGCCAUUAUCUACUGCUAUCUACAGUUUGUAGGGAUGAUCAGGUAUAUGAUCCAUCGAAGAAGUCAAGAAACAAGUUGUUAAGAUACUUCAAGAUGUUAGUAUUAUUGUAGAAACCAUCAAGGAUGACCGUUCUUAUUGGUCUAUCAAAUUCAGGAAAAACGACAAAUUUUAAAGUUGCAGCAAGAAGAAGGUGCUUGCCAUAUUAACUAAAGACACGGGUUGGAGAUUUUAUGCACAACAUGGCUUCAGAAGAAGAGUGCAACAUGCCAUCACUUUUUAGCACUAUAUAUAUAUUUUUUCUUUGAAAUUUUAGAUAUUUUUCUAAAUAGGUUGUUCGAUUAGUGCUACUAUAAAAGUUAAUGAAGUGAUGUACAUCUUGUUCCAAAUUUUUGGGAUCAUUGAUUUUUUUUUAUUAUUAUUAAUAUAUGAUUUUUAUUGUAUUGGA